rnacentral:rRNA from 1 species
UACGAGGGGUGCAAGCGUUAUUCGGAAUAAUUGGGCGUAAAGGGUGUGUAGACGGCAUAUUAAGUCAGUUGUUAAAUCUUUCGGCCUAACUGGAGCUCGCAAUUGAAACUGGUACGCUAGAGGGUGGAAGAGAGAAGUGGAAUUCUCGGAGUAGCGGUAAAAUGCGUAGAUCUCGAGAGGAACACCGAUGGCGAAGGCAGCUUCUUGGUCCAUUUCUGACGUUGAAACACGAAAGCGUGGGGAGCAAACAGG